UUAAUAAUUUAUUGCUUUAACUCAGACAACACCAUUAAAAUAUAGAUUUUUUUUAUUGGACUUUGGUAGGCAUUUCUCACCCACCAAAGCAAGCUUGGAUGGAAUACAAAGGGUUUGGAGGUUGGGCCAUAUAAGAACCCUAACUCAGUAAUGAUCCUUCCGCAGGUUCACCUACGGAAA
rnacentral:misc_RNA from 1 species